UGCCUUUGAAUCAAAAUGUAAAACUCUUGGC
rnacentral:piRNA from 1 species